CGUAGGUGGCAAGCGUUGUCCGGAAUUAUUGGGCGUAAAGCGCGCGCAGGCGGUCUCUUAAGUCUGAUGUGAAAGCCCCCGGCUCAACCGGGGAGGGUCAUUGGAAACUGGGAGACUUGAGUACAGAAGAGAAGAGCGGAAUUCCACGUGUAGCGGUGAAAUGCGUAGAGAUGUGGAGGAACACCAGUGGCGAAGGCGGCUCUUUGGUCUGUAACUGACGCUGAGGCGCGAAAGCGUAGGGAGCAAACAGGAUUAGAUACCCUGGUAGUCCACGCCGUAAACGAUGAGUGCUAAGUGUUAGAGGGUUUCCGCCCUUUAGUGCUGCAGCUAACGCAUUAAGCACUCCGCCUGGGGAGUACGGCCGCAAGGCUG
rnacentral:rRNA from 1 species